UACGUAGGGUGCAAGCGUUAAUCGGACUUACUGGGCGUAAAGCGUGCGCAGGCGGUGAUGUAAGACAGGUGUGAAAUCCCCGGGCUUAACCUGGGAACUGCAUUUGUGACUGCAUCGCUGGAGUGCGGCAGAGGAGACUGGAAUUCCUGGUGUAGCAGUGAAAUGCGUAGAUAUCAGGAGGAACACCGAUGGCGAAGGCAGGUCUCUGGGCUGACACUGACGCUCAUGCACGAAAGCGUGGGGAGCAAACAGG
rnacentral:rRNA from 1 species